GCAAACUUGGUCAUUUAGAGGAAGUAAAAGUCGUAACAAGGUUUCCGUAGGUGAACCUGCGGAAGGAUCAUUAACGAAAGCAAAAACACUUCUCCAUCUGUCGCUGGCGUGUCUUUUACGGGACUCGCAUGUGCACGUUGGAGUUGUGUCUUUCCACUACACCCUUGUGCACCUCUGCGUGGGCUCUCCCCUUCACCGGGGUUCUCCCGCGUUUCUUUACAAACAUGUAUGGUUUCAGAAUGGCACCUGCGUUUACGCAAUUUAAAACAACUUUCAGCAACGGAUCUCUUGGCUCUCGCAUCGAUGAAGAACGCAGC
rnacentral:misc_RNA from 1 species